UCGCCUGUUUAACAAAAACAUAGCUUUAUGAAUAAUUAAUAUAAAGUCUUACCUGCCCAAUGAUAUAGUUUUAAUGGCCGCAGUACUUUGACUGUGCUAAGGUAGCAUAAUAAAUUGACUUUUAAUUAAGGUCUAGAAUGAAAGGAUAAAUGAAUAUUCACUGUCUUUAAUAAAAUUGCACGAACUUUCUUAAAAGGUGAAAAUUCCUUUAGAUAAAUUAAAAAGACGAGAAGACCCUAGGAGUUUAAUAUAAUUUUGUUGGGGCAACAUUAUAGCAAAUAAUCUAUAAUAAAGUAUCUAUAAUAAAACGAAAUGUUUUAAUAAAAAAUAAACUACCCUAGGGAUAACAGCAUAAUUUAUUUAAAAAUAAGUUUGUGACCUCGAUGUUGGACUAGGGACUUUUAAUAUUAACUAUAUUUAUUGACUUGUUCUGUUCGAACAUUUUAUACCUACGUGAUCUGAGUUCAGACCGGA
rnacentral:rRNA from 1 species